rnacentral:rRNA from 1 species
UAGGGAAUCUUCGGCAAUGGGCGAAAGCCUGACCGAGCAACGCCGCGUGAGCGAUGAAGGCUUUCGGGUCGUAAAGCUCUGUUGUUAAGGAAGAACAAGUACGAGAGUAACUGCUCGUACCUUGACGGUACUUAACGAGAAAGCCACGGCUAACUACGUGCCAGCAGCCGCGGUAAUACGUAGGUGGCGAGCGUUAUCCGGAAUUAUUGGGCGUAAAGCGCGCGCAGGCGGUUUCUUAAGUCUGAUGUGAAAGCCCACGGCUCAACCGUGGAGGGUCAUUGGAAACUGGGGAACUUGAGUGCAGAAGAGGAAAGCGGAAUUCCACGUGUAGCGGUGAAAUGCGUAGAGAUGUGGAGGAACACCAGUGGCGAAGGCGGCUUUCUGGUCUGUAACUGACGCUGAGGCGCGAAAGCGUGGGGAGCAAACAGGAUUAGAUACCCUGGUAGUCCACGCCGUAAACGAUGAGUGCUAAGUGUUAGAGGGUUUCCGCCCUUUAGUG